rnacentral:tRNA from 1 species
GGGUGCUUAGCUCAGUGGUAGAGCACUUGCUCGACAUGCAAGGGGUCACAGGUUCAAUCCCUGUCGCACCCACCA